ACGCUCGACACCUACGGGAAGCAGCAGUGGGGAAUAUUGCACAAUGGGGGGAACCCUGAUGCAGCGACGCCGCGUGAGGGAAGAAGGUUUUCGGAUUGUAAACCUCUGUCUUUGGUGACGAUAAUGACGGUAGCCAAAGAGGAAGCUACGGCUAACUACGUGCCAACAGCCGCGGUAAUCUGAGCGGGCUGGCAAGGC
rnacentral:rRNA from 1 species